rnacentral:tRNA from 1 species
GAGGGUAUAGCUCAGUGGCAGGGCACAUGCUUAGCAUACGCCAAGUCCUGGGUUCAAUGCCCAGUACCUCCA